ACAAAGAUGGGACUGUCGGUCUACCGAGCAACAUCACGCGCUCGGUGGAAGAUCUUUCAAAUCGUCGU
rnacentral:pre_miRNA from 1 species